GCACUAAACUAAAAUGAAAAUGCAUUAAAGAUCUUGGAAUGAUAUAGAGAAGAUUAGCAUGGUCCCUGUGCAAAGAUCUAAAUAUUAAAACACAGACACUAAAUGUACUG